rnacentral:rRNA from 1 species
UGGGGAAUUUUGCACAAUGGAGGAAACUCUGAUGCAGCGACGCCGCGUGAGUGAUGAAGAUCUUCGGAUUGUAAAACUCUGUCCUUAGUGAAGAUAAUGACAGUAACUAAGAAGCAAGCCCUGGCUAAAUACGUGCCAGCAGCCGCGGUAAUACGUAUGGGGCAAGCGUUGUCCGGAAUUAUUGGGCGUAAAGGGUACGUAGGCGGUUUAAUAAGUCCUAAUUAAAAGGCUAUGGCUCAACCAUAGUAUGGUUAGGAAACUGUUGAACUUGAGUAGAUGAGGGGAAAGUGGAAUUCCAUGUGUAGCGGUGAAAUGCGUAGAUAUAUGGAGGAACACCAAUGGCGAAGGCAACUUUCUGGAAUCAAACUGACGCUGAGGUACGAAGGCGUGGGGAUCAAACAGG